UACGUAGGCAGCAAGCGUUGUUCGGAAUUACUGGGCGUAAAGAGUGUGUAGGCGGUGUUCUAAGUUUGUCGUGAAAUCUCCCGGCUUAACUGGGAGGGUGCGGCGAAAACUGGAAUGCUAGAGGAUGGGAGAGGUAAGCGGAAUUCCUGGUGUAGCGGUGAAAUGCGUAGAUAUCAGGAGGAACACCUGUGGUGUAGACAGCUUACUGGACCAUUUCUGACACUGAGACACGAAAGCGUGGGUAGCAAACAGG
rnacentral:rRNA from 1 species